AGACAACCAUUCAUAGCAGAGGAAAAUCACGAGUCUUCUUAGAAGCCAGAAUCCACGGGGGAGUACCACACAGGCACGGAAAGGUCCUGGGGUUUCCAUACGGAUCAGGAUCCCCAGUAUCAGAAGGAAUCGGAUCAAAGGUAAUGGUGCCGUUGUUGAGGUCCAAUGUGGUUGGAGGGGACAUGUCAGGAGCCGAGCUGUGAUGAUAGAGCUCCGAAUUGCAGUCAUCGAGGAUGGGUUCCUGCUUAAUGAUUCGGCUCAUCAUCUCUGAUGUGGAGAGCGAUGGCGUUGAUACUAUCGUCAGACCGUGAGCACGUGCCUGGAUCUCCAACUCCUG